CAAUAGCGUAUAUUUAAGUUGUUGCAGUUAAAAAGCUCGUAGUUGAAUUUCUGUUAACCGCUGUCGGUCUGCCAUUCGGUGUGUACUGGCAGCGUUUGGCAACUAUUCGAGAUUGGGCGUCCACUUGAUUGUGUGCGCUUGAUUUCGGAGCUGAUACUUUGAGAAAAUUAGAGUGUUCCAAGCAGGCGAGAGCCUUGAAUACUGCAGCAUGGGAUAUCGAGACAGGACUUGGGUCCUAUCUUGUUGGUUCUCGGGAUCUAAGUAAUGAUUAAUAGGGAUAGUUGGGGGCAUUCGUAUUUAACUGUCAGAGGUGAAAUUCUUGGAUUUGUUAAAGACGAACUACUGCGAAAGCAUUUGCCAAGGAUGUUUUCAUUAA
rnacentral:rRNA from 1 species